ACACGUAUCAUUUGGCCGCAAGCACUAUUGUCCAGCCUUAUCUUCUCAGCCCCCUAAUCAUGUAAUCUCUCCCCCAAUGCCUUCUUCUCACUCCCUCUCUGUCCAAUGAGGAACCAUGCGCAACACUCCCCCUCCCCAAUGGCCGCCGCUGCUUCAACGCCUCUCCCCGCGGCCGAAAUCUCACACGCCUACCGAGUGCCUCCCCUCCUUCCUCCACGCGCUCAGCGCAUGAUCCACCACCUUUCCCACGCCCUCGCGGACGCCCCACCACCGGGAACUCCAGCGCCUCCCAGAUCCUCUCCUUUCUCCUUCUUCCUCGCCCCCGCACACGCCGCACCAUCGGAACUCCUGUGCUGCCCAGAUCCUCUUCUUUCUCCUUCUUCCUCUCUUCCUCCCAAUUCUUUUUUUUCACUUGGCCAUGAGCAUGAGCACACACGUAGGGAGCCCCGCCACAUCGCCGUCGCACCGCCGCCACCACCCUCUACCUAACCUCCAUGCGGGAGGACAACUACGACAGCGCCAUCGAUUGCUUUCUUCGCUCGCGUUGUGGGUUCAUUCUUUACCCCAUCUGCAUCUCUGCUUUCUUCACCGAAGAUAUGCAGCCAAGCCAGUUGCAAUUGAGUCAAAGCAGAGUACCAAGCUGAAUUGGGCCCAAGCGGGUGACAGGAGCCGGAUGAAAUGGGCGCCGCCCCUCACCCGAUCACUCGCGCCGGUGAUGCGGCCUCCAUCCUACUUCUCCUCCGCCGCCGCCCUACUUCUCCUCCUUCACCGUGGCUGGAAAGGGAACGACUGGAUAAAAAUGAAACACAGGAUCACGAGUUGUAUACUAAAAAGUGCAGGGUGCUUUUUGUAAGAACAAAUCGUUUUCCCAGAUCCGCUUUAAAAAGGGACUGCAGGUUCAAUUAUGAGAAAACAUAAGAGGGUUUCCGCAAAAAUGCCAAUGACGUACCACCAGAAGCACUGCGUGCUUUAUUAUCAAAAAUUAAAAUUAAAAUUAAAUUAUUAGGGGUAGAAAGGUGUUGAUACUUUAUAAUAUGACGCUGUUAGCUAUUUU